rnacentral:rRNA from 1 species
GACGAACGCUGGCGGCGUGCUUAACACAUGCAAGUCGAACGGUGAAGCUCCAGCUUGCUGGAGUGGAUCAGUGGCGAACGGGUGAGUAACACGUGAGCAACCUGCCCCAGACUCUGGAAUAAGCGCUGGAAACGGCGUCUAAUACUGGAUACGAAGAGAAUCUGCAUGGGUAUCUCUUGGAAAGUUUUUCGGUUUGGGAUGGGCUCGCGGCCUAUCAGCUUGUUGGUGAGGUAAUGGCUCACCAAGGCGACGACGGGUAGCCGGCCUGAGAGGGCGACCGGCCACACUGGGACUGAGACACGGCCCAGACUCCUACGGGAGGCAGCAGUGGGGAAUAUUGCACAAUGGGCGAAAGCCUGAUGCAGCGACGCCGCGUGAGGGAUGACGGCCUUCGGGUUGUAAACCUCUUUCAGCAGGGAAGAAGCGAAAGUGACGGUA